rnacentral:rRNA from 1 species
CCUACGGGUAGCAGCAGUGGGGAAUAUUGGACAAUGGGCGAAAGCCUGAUCCAGCCAUGCCGCGUGUGUGAAGAAGGCCUUCGGGUUGUAAAGCACUUUCAGUGGGGAAGAAAGCCUUGGGGCUAAUACCCUCGAGGAAGGACAUCACCCACAGAAGAAGCACCGGCUAACUCCGUGCCAGCAGCCGCGGUAAUACGGAGGGUGCGAGCGUUAAUCGGAAUUACUGGGCGUAAAGCGCGCGUAGGCGGUCUGAUAAGCCGGUUGUGAAAGCCCCGGGCUCAACCUGGGAACGGCAUCCGGAACUGUCAGGCUAGAGUGCAGGAGAGGAAGGUAGAAUUCCCGGUGUAGCGGUGAAAUGCGUAGAGAUCGGGAGGAAUACCAGUGGCGAAGGCGGCCUUCUGGACUGACACUGACGCUGAGGUGCGAAAGCGUGGGUAGCAAACAGGAUUAGAUACCCCUGUAGUC